CUCAAUAUGCAGAGUGUGCCUGGAUCCCUCCCCAUGGCCUGGCCGUACCUGGCUCUUCUCUUGUUCCUCACUCAACCUUCAGGUUCCUCCUCGCAGCCAGUGCUGACUCAGAAGCCCUCCGCCUCAUUUUCCCCAGGUGAGACAGUGCAUCUCUCUUGCACCUUGUCCGCUGGAUACAGCAGCAGCAGCUACAGAGUCAGAUGGUACCAGCAGAAAUCGGGUGGCGUCCCACGAUUUCUGUACCACUAUUACAGCAGUGGCAGUGAAGGCAGAGGCUCAGGGGUCCCAGAGAGAUUCAGCGUCUCCCCUGAUUCCUCCAAAAACCUCUGGAAUUUAGUGAUCACAGGAGUUCGAGCUGAAGACGAGGCUGAUUAUUACUGCAACGCGUGGGACGGCACUAGUGGGACGUCCCACGGUUCUUCUUUCCAACCAGCGCUGACCCAGAGGUCCUCAGCAUUGCUUCCUCUGGGCGAGACAGUCCAUCUCUCCUGCACCUUGCCUGAUGGAGACAGCUUCAUCAGCUAUGGGGUCAGGCAGCAGAAAUUGGGUGAUGCCCACUUUUUAUAUCACUGUUACACCGUCAGUGACCACGGCAGGGGCUCAGGAGUCCCAGAGAGAUUCAGCAUCGCCCCUGUCUCCUCCAAGUACCUCUGGAAUUUAGUGAUCCAGGACUUCAAGCUGAAGAUGAGGCUGAUUAUCCCUGUGCCAUGUGAUGCUUUUCACCUGCAUUACCUGCAUUAG